UACGAAGGGGGCUAGCGUUGCUCGGAAUCACUGGGCGUAAAGGGUGCGUAGGCGGGUCUUUAAGUCAGGGGUGAAAUCCUGGAGCUCAACUCCAGAACUGCCUUUGAUACUGAGGAUCUUGAGUACGGGAGAGGUGAGUGGAACUGCGAGUGUAGAGGUGAAAUUCGAAGAUAUUCGCAAGAACACCAGUGGCGAAGGCGGCUCACUGGCCCGUAACUGACGCUGAGGCACGAAAGCGUGGGGAGCAAACAGG
rnacentral:rRNA from 1 species